UGCUGAGUGUUCGAAAGCUCCGGUCUUGAAAACCGGCGAACGUGCAAGCGUUCCGUGGGUUCGAAUCCCACCCUCACCGCCA
rnacentral:tRNA from 1 species